AUUAGAGUCCCAGGGUAAACAUCAACCCAAAUAGGACGAAACGCGCGUCCUGGAU
rfam:Schistosoma mansoni strain Puerto Rico chromosome W, complete genome